rnacentral:rRNA from 1 species
GAUGAACGCUGGCGGCGUGCCUAAUACAUGCAAGUCGAGCGAACGGACGAGAAGCUUGCUUCUCUGAUGUUAGCGGCGGACGGGUGAGUAACACGUGGAUAACCUACCUAUAAGACUGGGAUAACUUCGGGAAACCGGAGCUAAUACCGGAUAAUAUUUUGAACCGCAUGGUUCAAAAGUGAAAGACGGUCUUGCUGUCACUUAUAGAUGGAUCCGCGCUGCAUUAGCUAGUUGGUAAGGUAACGGCUUACCAAGGCAACGAUGCAUAGCCGACCUGAGAGGGUGAUCGGCCACUCUGGAACUGAGACACGGUCCAGACUCCUACGGGAGGCAGCAGUAGGGAAUCUUCCGCAAUGGGCGAAAGCCUGACGGAGCAACGCCGCGUGAGUGAUGAAGGUCUUCGGAUCGUAAAACUCUGUUAUUAGGGAAGAACAUAUGUGUAAGUAACUGUGCACAUCUUGACGGUACCUACUCAGAAAGCCACGGCUAACUACGUG